rnacentral:rRNA from 1 species
UACGUAGGGUGCAAGCGUUGUUCGGAAUUACUGGGCGUAAAGGGCGCGUAGGCGGCGAACCAAGUCAGAUGUGAAAUCCCUGGGCUCAACCCAGGAACUGCAUUUGAAACUCCCUUUCUUGAGUGUCGGAGAGGAAAGCGGAAUUCCUGGUGUAGAGGUGAAAUUCGUAGAUAUCAGGAGGAACACCGGUGGCGAAGGCGGCUUUCUGGACGACAACUGACGCUGAGACGCGAAAGCGUGGGGAGCAAACAGG